GUGCUCACUUCAGCAACACGUGUACUGAAAUUGGAACAAUACAGAGAAGAUUAGCACGUCCCCAGUGCAAGGAUGGCACGCAAACUUGUGAAGUAUUCCGUAUUUUU
ensembl:snRNA U6 U6 spliceosomal RNA